CCCCCUACGGGGCGCAGCAGUGGGGAAUAUUGCACAAUGGGGGGAACCCUGAUGCAGCGACGCCGCGUGGUGAAGGAGUACUUCGGUACGUAAAGCCCUAUCAGCAGGAAAGAAAAUGACGGUACCUGACUAAGAAGCCCCGGCUAACUACGUGCCAGCAGCCGCGGUAAUACGUAGGGGGCAAGCGUUAUCCGGAAUUACUGGGCGUAAAGGGUGCGUAGGUGGUUUCUUAAGUCAGAGGUGAAAGGCUACGGCUCAACCGUAGUAAGCCUUUGAAACUGGGGAACUUGAGUGCAGGAGAGGAG
rnacentral:rRNA from 1 species